UUUGUCGAGAAUUUUUUUUUCGAGUUCUAAAAGAAAACAAAAAUAGCGAUCGUUGAGUUUCUAAAAUCAUGUAUAGAGAUUUGUAUGGCAACCGAGUGUAUACGAAUUAAAAGGUAAGGUAAUUCGAUUAAUUGAUUUUAUAUAAUUGAAAAGAAUACCUAAUAUUAAGAGCGAAACUCAAUUUUUUCGAUUUGUGUUUGAUCUGAGGAGCGAGAAUCUAUGAUUAUCUAUCUUAUUUCAUUCAGAGAGGCAACAAUUUGAAUGGAUAGGUAAUUUCUUUAAUUUGAUAUCACUUUUUUUUGUAAAAUCAAGUUCGACAAUUAUGUUCUAAAACUAAAUUGAUUUGUUUUUGAUGAAACUUGGGCAAACUAUGAUCUGAGGAGCGAGAAUCAAUGAUUUCGGAUCAGAUUUCAUUCAGAGAGGCUUCGAUACUUUCUUUUAUUUGAUUUCAUUUUUUUGAAAAUCAAGUAGUCGAAUAAUUUUCUAAAACUAAAUCGAUUUGUUUUUGAUGAAAUUUGGGUAAAAUAUUAUGCGUGGAGCUUCAUGGAUUAGGAUUUCCGAUUGUAUUUCAAUCAGAAAUCCAUGCUUUCAAGGUUUUGGAUGCUGGCGUAUUUGGACAUGUAUGAAGGUCGAGAUAUUGAAAAAGGUAUGAAGGAUUUUGGUCUGCACACGCCAACUGUUUUUGUGUGCCUUCACGUCUGAAAGUUUAGGGCUAAGAAAGGCUUCGAUAAUUGUUGCGAAAUGGGCCUCGACCACCAGAAGUUAAAUCCAAAUAAGAAAACGGGUGGGGCAGCUACAGAGAUCCGCGUGUUUUUAAUGUUGGUUAAUAAAAUGAUUUCCGUAACAAUCUUUCUAAUAUUCUUUGUAAUAAGUGUAACCAAAUGACUUUCCUAGUGUCAUUAAUACUUAAAUAUCAUAGGUAAAAAAGUCAUUAAGCAUUGCUCAAAUAAUAGUGUAGGGAUUUAAGAUUAUUUUUUAAUAGUUUUAUAACUUUCUUCUC